rnacentral:lncRNA from 1 species
GACGGAGUUUCGCUCUGUUGUUCCAGCUGGAGUGCAGUGGCACAAUGUCUGCUCAUUGCAACCUCCGCCUCCUGGGUUCAAGCGAUUCUCCUGCCUCGGCCUCCUAAGUAGCUGGGAUUACAGGUGCAUGCCACCAUGCCUGGCUAAUUUUUGUAUUUUCAGUAGAGAUGGGGUUUCAUCACGUUGGUCAGGCUGGUCUUGAACUCCGACCUCGUGAUUCGCCCACCUAAGCCUCAGCCUCCCAAAGUGCUGGGAUUACACGCGUGAGCCAUUGACCUGGCCUGGAAUCAGGUUUUCUAACUAGGAUUCAAACUUGAAAAUCCUACUCCUUUGACUGCGGGGCCGGGUGUGGUGUCUCACACCUGUAAUCCCAGCACUUAUGGGAGGCCCAGGCGGGCGGAUCACUUGAGGUCAGGAGUUCAAGACCAGCCUGGCCAACAUGGCAAAAGCCCAUCUCCACUAAAAAAAAUACACAUGCCUGUAAUCCCAGCUACUUGGGAGGCUGAGGCAGGAGAAUCAUUUGAACCCAGGAGGCGGAGGUUGCAGUGAGCCAAGAGCGUGCCACUGCACUUCAACCUGGGCGACAGAGUGAGACCCUAUCUCAAAACAAAACGCCAAAUGAGGAGUGCACGAUUACCCCCGAGCAGGAAUAGGGGAGCAGCAUCUGAAUUCAAAGGGCCAGAGCAGCAGAGGUAGCCCUUGGAAGAACCUCCAUGGAAAGACAGAGCUUGGAGAAUAGAAUUGGGACAGAGCUCCAGCUGCCUCUUCCAUGGCCGGCUGUGGGAGAUCCAGGAUUAACUUUUGAUAUGAGAGCUAUUGGGUUUCCUUAUAGGAACUGAAUGAAAGCAAUUUCAUUCCAAAACCCACUGGUCUUUGUUCUGAGCGGAGAACAUAGCGGCAGAGGCCUGGAGGUAUCGAACAGCAUGGGCCAUGGUGGGAGAUGGGGUGGGGGACAGUGGAGUCUGAGGGGCAAGGACAUUGCAGGAGGGGCCCUAGGAGUGGGAGGGUCGGGGGGGGACUUUGAAUAAGGGAAUUUCAGGAGAUGGGGCCUGGACACAGGGGCAAUGUGGGAGAGGAGGGCCUGAGGCAGAUACAUCAUGAGAGAUGGUGAGAGAUGGGGUCCCUGAGAGAAGGGGCCUUUGGCAGAUGGGCCCUGAAUUAGGGGAGUAGGCGGGUGGUGUGCUGGGAGAUGAGGGAACACCCAAGAAGAUUGUGAGUUCCAGGCAGGGUGUGGUGGCUCACGCCUGUAAUCCCAGCACUUUGGGAGGCCAAGGUGGGCGGAUCACUUAAGGCCAGGAGUUCGAGAGCAGCCUGCCCGACAUGGUGAAACCCCAUCUUUACUAAACAUACAAAAAAAAAAUUAGCUGCGCGUGAUGGUGCGCGCCUGUAAUCCCAGCUACUGGGAAGGCUGAGUCAGGAGAGUCACUUGAACCCAGGAGGCAGAGGUUGCAGUGAGCUGUGACUGUGCCACUGUACUCCAGCCUGGGUGACAGAAUGAGACCCUGUCUCAAAAAAAAAAAAAAAAA